UACGGAGGGUGCUAGCGUUGUUCGGAAUUACUGGGCGUAAAGGGCGCGUAGGCGGCCCGCUAAGUCGAACGUGAAAUCCCCGGGCUCAACCCGGGAACUGCGUCCGAUACUGGUGGGCUUGAAUCCGGGAGAGGGAUGCGGAAUUCCAGGUGUAGCGGUGAAAUGCGUAGAUAUCUGGAGGAACACCGGUGGCGAAGGCGGCAUCCUGGACCGGUAUUGACGCUGAGGCGCGAAAGCCAGGGGAGCAAACGGG
rnacentral:rRNA from 1 species